GUCUUCACUUUGGCAGCACGUAUACUAAGGCUGGAACAACACACAGAAGAUCAGGAUAGCCCUUGUGCAAGGAUAACAUGCAAGCUCAUGAAGGAUUCCAUAUUUCU
ensembl:snRNA U6 U6 spliceosomal RNA